UGCCAAGGCGCCAGAACCGGCUGGUACCCCAGUACCCACUGGAAGGGGGAGAGGUUAGUGGAGGGGUGGCAGAGCGAGUUCUGACUCUGAUGCCAAGGCGCCAGAACCGGCUGGUACCCCAGUACCCACUGGAAGGGGGAGAGGUUAGUGGAGGGGUGGCAGAGCGAGUUCUGACUCUGAUGCCAAGGCGCCAGAACCGGCUGGUACCCCAGUACCCACUGGAAGGGGGAGAGGUUAGUGGAGGGGUGGCAGAGCGAGUUCUGACUCUGAUGCCAAGGCGCCAGAACCGGCUGGUACCCCAGUACCCACUGGAAGGGGGAGAGGUUAGUGGAGGGGUGGCAGAGCGAGUUCUGACUCUGAUGCCAAGGCGCCAGAACCGGCUGGUACCCCAGUACCCACUGGAAGGGGGAGAGGUUAGUGGAGGAGUGGCAGAGCGAGUUCUGACUCUGAUGCCAAGGCGCCAGAACCGGCUGGUACCCCAGUACCCACUGGAAGGGGGAGAGGUUAGUGGAGGGGUGGCAGAGCGAGUUCUGACUCUGAUGCCAAGGCGCCAGAACCGGCUGGUACCCCAGUACCCACUGGAAGGGGGAGAGGUUAGUGG